rnacentral:tRNA from 9 species
GGGGGGCUAGCUCAGUUGGGAGAGCACUACGUUCGCAACGUAGGGGUCGCGGGUUCAACUCCCGUGCCCUCCACCA